rnacentral:rRNA from 1 species
UACGGGGGGAGCAAGCGUUGUUCGGAUUUACUGGGCGUAAAGGGCGCGUAGGCGGUCAGCACAAGUCAGUUGUGAAAUCUCCGGGCUUAACUCGGAAAGGUCAACUGAUACUGUACGACUAGAGUGCAGAAGGGGCAACUGGAAUUCUCGGUGUAGCGGUGAAAUGCGUAGAUAUCGAGAGGAACACCUGCGGCGAAGGCGGGUUGCUGGGCUGACACUGACGCUGAGGCGCGAAAGCCAGGGGAGCGAACGGG